GCUAGUGUAGCUUAAACAAAGCAUAACACUGCAA
rnacentral:tRNA from 1 species